GCCCUCCAAAAAAAUACCCCUAAACCCUAGAAGCCAGCAGUCCCCCGAGCCUCUGCGUCUCUGUUUCUCGAAAUGGCUUGGCGUGGGUCGAUCUCCAGGUCGGUGCUCACCGCAGGGCGGUCGGCCUCCUCCCCACUCCAUUCCCCGCCGGCGGCCCCCCGCCUUCAUCCUCCGCCGCUCGCCGCCCCUCGUCUCCAGCGCCGCCGCCUCUCCUUCGCCCCUGCCAGGACUUUGGGAGAGCUGGGGUGCGUCCAGUCUCUCCUCCCGCUCCACAGUGUGGUCGCCGUGCCCCGCCUCACCUCGCACCUUUCCGUCAGCGCCAGAGCGUGCUGUGAGCUCUCUCAGGGUACCUUUCGUCGCACUUGUCAAGAUCGCUAGUUAUCUCCUUUCUUUGGAAAAAUGGAAAAGAUGGUUGAUGCACGAGACAGGCUGGCAUUCGGUGGGAAGCUUUGAUUUCUAAGUUGAUGGAGGAAUGGUAAAGAUGGGUGAUGCAAGAGAGAUGACAAGAUUCAGUGAAAGCAGGAGGAUGGUGAUGUUGUUUCAGCCACUGUAGGUUUUCUCUUUCCUAACGGUUAUUCCAAAAGUACUUGAAGGCAGUAGGAUUGAUGAUAAGCUUGUUAAAAGCAUUUGGAGAAGUUAUUAUAGGGGUGUUUUGGAAACCUUUGAGCUAUGUCAUUUAGCUGCAGGAGUAGGACAAACCUAUUAAUGAUUUUGCUUGUUUUGAUAAACUUUGAAAUUUCCCAUUUCUUGUGUUUGAAUUACUAUAAUUUUUUGUAAAAGACUGCAGAUAAAAUCGCAUUGAUGUUUAUCAUGCUGUUGGGAUUCUCAAUGCAUAGUCUUGGAUUCUGUCUG